AACGAACGCUGGCGGCAUGCCUAACACAUGCAAGUCGAACGAGACCUUCGGGUCUAGUGGCGCACGGGUGCGUAACGCGUGGGAACCUGCCCUUAGGUUCGGAAUAACUCCCCGAAAGGGGUGCUAAUACCGGAUAAUGUCUUCGGACCAAAGAUUUAUCGCCUUUGGAUGGGCCCGCGUUGGAUUAGCUAGUUGGUAGGGUAAAAGCCUACCAAGGCGACGAUCCAUAGCUGGUCUGAUAGGAUGAUCAGCCACACUGGGACUGAGACACGGCCCAGACUCCUACGGGAGGCAGCAGUGGGGAAUAUUGGACAAUGGGCGAAAGCCUGAUCCAGCAAUGCCGCGUGAGUGAUGAAGGCCUUAGGGUUGUAAAGCUCUUUUACCCGGGAUGAGAAUGACAGUACCGGGAGAAUAAGCUCCGGCUAACUCCGUG
rnacentral:rRNA from 1 species